rnacentral:tRNA from 1 species
GCGAGAGAUAGUUGGGACACGCUCCAAAGUACACGGAAAACGUUGCCAACGUUUAGGCCGAGGGUUCAAUUCCCUUCUCCCGCUCCA